CCCGCUGAACUUAAGCAUAUUAAUAAGCGGAGGAAAAGAAACUAACAAGGAUUCCCCUAGUAACGGCGAGUGAAGCGGGAAAAGCUCAAAUUUGAAAUCUCAUACCUUUGGUAUGCGAAUUGUAGUUUGUAGAAGUGUUUUCGAAAGUAAAUCUGGUUAAAGUCCCUUGGAACAGGGCAUCAUAGAGGGUGAGAAUCCCGUUUUUGACUAGAACCUUAUUUUCAUGUGAUACACUUUCAAAGAGUCAGGUUGUUUGGGAAUGCAGCCUAAAAUGGGUGGUAAAUACCAUCUAAAGCUAAAUAUUGGCGAGAGACCGAUAGCGAACAAGUACCGUGAGGGAAAGAUGAAAAGAACUUUGAAAAGAGAGUUAAAUAGUACGUGAAAUUGUUAAAAGGGAAACGUUUGAAACCAGUUUUGUUAAAAAAAUCUCAAUUGAUUUAACAAAUCAACCCAUGUUUUUUUUAACAGGUCAACAUCAAUUUGAUUUGAACUAAAAAGGUAGUAGGAAGGUAACGUUUACUUCGGUAAACGCGUUAUAGCCUAUUAUCAUAUGUUUCGAAUUAGAUUGAGGAACGCAGUGCAGUCAUGGAUUUACUUUUUGCUAACCCCAAAUUUAUUUUUAAACAACUUGUUGAUUAAAAGUAGACAAAGGUUAAUCUUAAGGAUAAAUCACACCUGUGCUUUGGAUGUUGACAUAAUGGUUUUAAGCGACCCGUCUUGAAACACGG
rnacentral:rRNA from 1 species